AAAGAGAGGAGGUUGGGGCUCCCUUGAAGCUCUAGAGCUUUGGGCCUAUAGUCCCACAAGGGAGCUAGGAACUGCCUUGAGUUUAAAUCCCAGUACCACACACUGUCAUGGGAUGUGAUCCUGGGCUUAUCAAUUUAAGGCUGGAAGAGGGUCUUGUCAUCACUAGUUCAACCCUCUCGUUUAACACAUGAGGAAACUGAGGUCCAGAGAGAGGCCAUGACUUACUUAGGGACCCACAGCUAGGAAGUGUCCAAGCCAAGAUUCAAUCUCAGCUUCACUAAUGUUAAUCCAUCAUUGACAUCGAUGGAUUGCCCAAGAAGGGAAACUGAGACCCAGCUAUAUUGUCAUAUUCAAUCAAUGAUCUGGAGAUGCAGGGAAUCAGUAUUAUUCCAGGACUGAACUGAAUAUGUUAAGGAGAAAAUAAGUGGCAAGAGAAAAUGCCGUGUUAUAGGAUCCUAAGGUGUGAGAAUGAAAAACAAGACUCAUAGAAGUGAUUUAUUUACAGUUGGGGAAACUGAGACCCCUUUUUGAGGGGGAGAUUAGAAGGUAUAAAUUGGAUCCAUUCUCUUUUCAAUUGUGAUCUUCUAGGAUUCUGAUAUGCAAAUGAUAUGUAAAUUGAAAUGUUUUUACCCAACAAACGUUGCCUUGGCAACACUGAGUUUAUCCCUGAGGACUUUCACACCAGAGUGCAUUCACCCAAGAGCUUUGGGCAGGAAGCACUAAGUCCCUUAGUGUUUCUCCCCUUCCCAAGCACCUCUAAUCCCAGCACCUGCCGGAUCUUCUGAGGGACACGUGGACGUCCAGCUGACCGUGUUUGCGAGAAGGACUCAGACUUUCCUCUCAAGACCGGACCAGCUUGUCUUCUGAAUGUGACUUGAUUUGGGGCUUGAAGGAAAACUCUUUUUGUCAAAGUUGACAAGAUCGCCCAGAAGACAGUCAGGAUGCAGGCAGAAAUCUCUUCCUCCCUCCCUCCCUCCUUCCCUCCCUCUGUCUCUCCUCCUGUCCCUUCCUCCUUCUCUUUCUCUGCCCCUCCCUGCUUUCCUCCCUUCUUUCCUCCCACUUUCCUUCCCUCCUUCCCUCCCACUUUCCUUCCCUCCUUUCCUCCCACCUUCUCUCCCUCCUUCCCUCCCAUCCUGUGUCCUACCAUUUCUUUCUUUGAUCCCUCCCUCCCUCCAGACUUCCCACCCACCUUCCUUCCCGUUGCUUCUGUUCUUCCAAUUUUCCCCCCUUUGUAUUAUUCCUCCAUUCCCUUCCCCUUCCCUCAACCCUAUCCAUCCUCCUUUCCCACUCCAUUGACUCCUUCGUUCCCUUCCCCCAUCCCCCCUGCCCUCAUUCCCACACUACCUCAUUCACUUGUUUCCUCCCAGAGGCCUUCUAUCCCUCCCUCUCUGGUUCCCCCCGUCGCUCCCACUUUCCAGCCUGCCUUCCCUCCCACUCUCAUUCCAGUCUUGCCUUUUUCCCUCCCUCCUGUUCUGAUUUCCCCCCUCCCUCUGGCUUACUUCACCUCUUUCCCUCCCACCCUCAUUGCCAUUCCCCCAUACCCCUCUUGGAUUGUCUUACUCCCUCAUGUUGUCGUCGCUUCCCCGUGCUAUCCUAACUUCUUUCCCUUGUCUUUUGAGGAGCCCCAAUAACAGCUUCUCUCCCCUCCCAGACCUACAGGGCCUCCCCUCCCAUAGGUCUUUACCACCGACAGGGCCCCAGGUCACACAUUGUUCCCUAUCCAGUAAUUUCUCCACCCCCCCCUCCCGGCAGCUCCUGGGGCUUGACUCCAGCAGCAGAUGCAAUUUUGGACUCUGAAAACCCCAUCUAGGGUGUAUCUCCUCAGUCUAGUGCAGAUCGGUGAGGAGUGCCCUUCACCCUUCAUUAGCUCCUGGGGCCGGCCUGCUCCAGGGCUGUAACUCUAAACUCUGGCCAAAGCACCGAGGACUCGUGCCAGCAGAGGACCCGGCAGUUAGCUUUGCUCGGUCUCCCAUAGGCCUCAGAGCCUUUCGGCUCUUUCGAGCUAACAUCCUCUAGCAGUCAGACCGGGUUGUUGCUGGUUAUCCUGACGAGGGGCCUAGUUCUCUUCCUGCCGCUCAAAGUUGACCCUUCCAAGGGGCCAAGAUCCAACCAACUCAGAGAGGCAACUGGGUAAAGACUGUGGAAAUCUCCCUGAGGUGGGCAGGGCCCAGACAGCCAACCCAGGAGCCAUAUUGGUGAACAGUGACUGCCUACACCUACCCCCAUGCCUUUCCAACGUGGACAUUAAGAAGAAACUACCAGGCCAAGUCCAGGUCGGGGGUGGGCAGCGCCCUUGGCCCAGUGAGGGCCGAGAGGGCCCGGUUUACUACAUUAGAAAGUAUCCACUGCGACUCCCACCAAAUACACCGGCCCUUUGGAGGGACUUGACCCACCGAGGCCUGAGCCAAGACACCAAGGAAGAGAGGGAGAGCGUGAGAGCGGCCCUCUUACUGCCGCCGGAGCCCUCAGCAUCGCGACGCAGUAAAAUUAACCUCAUCGAGCCCAAGAAGCACAGGCCUGGCGAGGAUAUUCGGCCUGCCUGGGUCUUCUCUUUGGUCGGGAGAAAAUGGCCCCCCAAAGCAGAUCCCCCGCCUUCUGGAGCGCCCGGACCUACCAGCCAGCCCCGAGAUCCCAUCCAUGGGCCUAGUUUGCUCAGUUUGUGCCUCGACACGGACCCCCAUUGAAACAUCGUGGCUGCCUCUUGACUGUUUUAAUAAACCAUGACUAAAAUGAGUGUCCUGGUGGUUCUUCCCUGCCAUCUGCUGGCAGGACCAAGGUAACGCACAUGACUGGGAACUCCCCUGCCCCAGGAUUUUAACUGGGAACUGGGCCCAACAUCACAGGCCUUAGCACCCUUAGGGAACUUAGGUCGCAGCCAAACCAACACAUCUCAAGUCAAACUCAGCUUUACAGAGGGGGAACUGGGGGGCAGGGCGGAAAGGACUUGCCUAAGCUCGUACGUGAGAGCCUUGGGGUGGAUGUGUACAAAAGGGACCUUGGAGCCGCCAUUUUGCAGGGAGGUUAAACCCAGGGUCACGGCACAGGGUGGGACUAAAGCCAUUGUCCUUGCCUUCCACAACACCACCCCCUCCCCGGGGUCAUUCUAGCUAUGACCGCUGGAGCCCAGGGGGGCAGGGGGCAGUAUGGGAAGGUGGCCAUUUUAGGCAAGACCUCAGAUGGUAGACAGUGGAGUCUUAGGUGCUGAGGGUUCCAUUUCCAGUAUGUUCUAAACGGCCAAGCAACUGGGGAAGGGGGGACUUCUAGAACCGUGGCCAGGGCAGAAUCUGUGUAGUCUCCAUUGUAGCGCCAUCUUGGGAAUCAGCUAGAACCAGGUCAGGAACUCGUUAGCUUCAUGAACUUAAUAGCGGAAAGGGAAGUCCAAGACCCAGGAUCCAAGAAGCACCAACGGUCAGGGAGCAGUAGGCCCAGAAUUAGGAAAACCCAACGUCCAAUCUGGCCGCAGACACUAGGUGCGCAACCUUGGGCGUGAAAAUUUACCCCAUCUGCCCCAAUUUACCCAACUGUAAACUUAGAUCAUAAUAGCAGUUACUUACAGGGCUAUUGUGAGGGCCAAACAAAAGAAUAAUACAGCUGCAGACACUUGUUACCUAGGUGACCACAGCAAGUCACUUGCCUGUAUCUGCCUCAACCUCAUAAUCUGUAAAAUGUGGAUUGUGAGAACAAAUGACAUAACAGUUGUCCAGUACUAGGCAUACAUUAGGUGCUGUAUAGAUGCUACCUAUUAGAAUUCUGGGGUCUGGGCCUACAGUAGGUGCUGUAAAGACGCUAGCUACUAGAAUUUUGUGCUCUGGACAUACAUUAGGUGCUGUAUAGAUGCUUUCUAUUAGAAUUCAGGGAAUUGGGCAUAUGGCAAGUGCUAUAUUGAUGCUAACUAUUAGAAAUCUUGUAUCUAGGCCUACAACAUGUGCUGUAUAGAUGCUACCUAUUAGAAUGCUAGGGUCUGGACAUACAUUAGGUGCUAUAUAGAUGCUAGCUAUUAGAAUUCUAGGGUCUGGGCCAGCGGUAGGUGUGGAGAGUUACUGUAUAGAUGCUACCUAUUAGAAUUCUAGCAUCUGGGCAUACAUUAGGUGCUGUAUAGAUGUUAGCUAUUAGAAUUCUACCAUGUGGGCAGAGAGUAGGUACUGUAUAGAUACUACCUAUUAGAAUUCUGUGCUCUGGGCAUAUAUUAGGUACUGUAUACAUGCUACGUAUUAGAAUUCUGGGGUCUGGGCCUACAUUAGGUGCUAUAUAGAUGCUACCUAUUAGAUUUCUGGGGUCUGGGCAUGCAUUAGGUACAAUAUAAGUUACUACCUAUUAGAAUUCUGGGGUCUGGGCAUACAUUAGGUGCUGUAUAGAUGCUAACUACUAGAAUUUUGUACUCUGGGCAUACAUUAGGUGCUGUAUAGGUGUUAGCUUUUGGAAUUCUAGGGUCUGGACCUAUGAGAGAUGCUGUAUAGAUGCUACCUAUUAGAAUUCAGGGGUCUAGGCAUACAUUAGGUGCUAGAUAGAAGCUACCUAUUAGAAUUCUGGGAACUGGGCCUACGAUAGGUACUCUAUAGAUGUUACCUACUAGAAUUCGAUGGUCUGGGCAUACAUUAGGUGAUAUAUGGAUGCUACCUAUUAGAAUUCUGGGGUCUGGGCAUACAUUAGGUGCUGAAUAGAUGCUACCUAUUAGAAUUCUGGGGCCUAGGUCUACAUUAGGUUCAGGAAAGAUGCUACCUAUUAGAAUUCUGUGGUCUGGGUAUACAUUAGGUGCUGUAUAGAUGCUACCUACUAGAAUUCUGUGGUCUGGGCAUACAUUAGGUGCUGUAUAGUUGGUAGCUAUUCGAAUACUUGUAGUCUAGGCAUACGGUAGGUGCUGUAUAGAUGAUGCCUAUUUGAAUUCUGUGGCCUGGGCAUACAUUAGGUGCUAUACAGAUGCAAGCUAUUAGAAUUCUUUGGUCUUGGUAUACAUUAGGUGCUGUAUAGAUUCUAGCUACUAGAAUUCUGUGGUCUGGGCAUACAUUAGGUGCUUUAUAGAUGCUACCUAUUAGAAUUAUGGGAUCUGGUCAUACUGUAGGUGUUGCAUUGAUGCUAGCUAUUAGAAUUCUGUGUUUUCGGCCUACAGUUGUUGUUGUAUAGGUGCUGCCUAUUAGAAUUCUGGGAUCUGGGCAAAUGGUAGGUGCUGCAUAGAUGUUAGCUAUUAGAAUUCUGGGGUUUGGGCAAUACAGUAGGUGCUGAAUAGAUGUUAGCUCUUAGAGUUUUGUUGUCUGGUCAUGCAAUAGUUGCUAUAUAUAUAUACCAGCUAUUAGAAUUCUGUGGUCUGGGCAUACUGUAGGUGCUGUAUAGAUGCUACGUAUUAGAAUGCUGUGGUCUAUUCAUAUAAUAGGUGCUAUAUAGAUGGCAGUUAUUAGAAUUCUGUGGUCUGGUCAUACAAUAGGUGCUCAGUAGAUGCUAGCUAUUAGAAUUCUAGUGUCUGGGCAUAUGGUAGGUGCUGUAUAGAUGCUACCUAUUAGAAUUCUGGGGUCUGGGCGUAUAGUAGGUGCUGUAUAGAUGCUACCUACUAGAAUUCUGUGGUCUGGGCC
rnacentral:lncRNA from 1 species